ensembl:miRNA mir15c microRNA 15c
CCUUAGACCGCUAAAGCAGCGCGUCAUGGUUUUCAACAUUAGAGAAGGUGCAAGCCAUCAUUUGCUGCUCUAGAGUUUUAAGG